ACAGAUAGAUAAACCACAGGGUGUUAGAAAAGUCUUCCUAUAAGGGAAAGCUCAUCACUAUGGAAACAAUGGCACAGUCUGGAGCGCUGGCUGUGAGGGAUACUAGCUGGAAGUACCUCCGUUUCCUGUGAAAAAGACCCGAAAAAAUCCAUAAAAUAUGCACAUUUCAAGUUUUAGGAUUAUUAUCUCGGCAGUGAUAGUGUUUGACUGGAAACAGUGUAGCACUAAAGCCUUUCCCAGGCUGCUGUGUGACUGCCGGAUCAGAGCGAGCAAUCCUGAGAACCCUACUGUGUCAGUAAAUAAUGUGAGUUGGUGUUACCAGCACUCAGACCACAUUUGUCACCAUCCGCAAAAACAGAGGUUGGAACCUUUGCUGGAAGAUAGCAUAAAAAUUCACCUCAUG